rnacentral:rRNA from 1 species
CGCCUUGCCAGCCCGCUCAGAACUCAAAGGAAGUUGACGGGGGCCCGCACAAGCGGUGGAGUAUGUGGUUUAAUUCGAUGCAACGCGAAGAACCUUACCUGGUCUUGACAUCCCGGAGACCCUUAGGAAACUAGGGGGUGCUUCCAUCUGGAAGAAUCUGGAGACAGGUGCUGCAUGGCUGUCGUCAGCUCGUGUCGUGAGAUGUUGGGUUAAGUCCCGCAACGAGCGCAACCCUUGCCUUUAGUUGCCAGCAGUUCGGCUGGGCACUCUAAAGGGACUGCCGGUGUUAAACCGGAGGAAGGUGGGGAUGACGUCAAGUCCUCAUGGCCUUUAUGACCAGGGCUACACACGUACUACAAUGGCCGAUACAAAGGGCAGCGACACUGCGAGGUGAAGCCAAUCCCGUAAAAUCGGUCUCAGUCCGGAUUGGAGUCUGCAACUCGACUCCAUGAAGUUGGAAUCGCUAGUAAUCGUGGAUCAGCAUGCCACGGUGAAUACGUUCCCGGGCCUU